GAGGUCAUUAAGUGGCCUGUGGUCUGAGGCAGGUGCAACGUGAGAAAUCCAGAGAAUCAUGAGGGGGUAGGGCAGGCUUAGAAAAGGGAGAAUCUGCUGCCAGAGAGGCCAGAUGCCAUGAGUCCAAAGGAAUCAUCCCGCCCCCAGCAGACAAGCGUGGAGCCAGCCUGCUCCUCUGGCCAAAGCAUUCCACCCCCGGACCUCUCCUCCAGAGCCCAGCUCCCACUGAAGGCAUAUGACCCAGAUCCUGAGAACCAGAUGCACCGGCCUGAGCUUUCGUCAGAAGCAAGGACACACAGAACCUUUCUUAGAGGCAUCAUUAGAGGACCGGACAUGGUGGCCAGAGGCUGCAGGGACAGAAGUCCCAGGGCCAUGUCCAGGAACUGGGCUCAGGGGACCUCCUGGUGCCACCUGCAUAUCUGAGCCCAUGGAGUUCCUCUGGUCUAUUCAGUUCUCUCAUUUUAACUUAAUUUUGUUUUUGUAGGCUUUCUUAAAAAAUUGCCCAGU
rnacentral:lncRNA from 1 species